rnacentral:rRNA from 1 species
ACGAGGAGCUUGCUCCUCUGACGUUAGCGGCGGACGGGUGAGUAACACGUGGAUAACCUACCUAUAAGACUGGGAUAACUUCGGGAAACCGGAGCUAAUACCGGAUAAUAUAUUGAACCGCAUGGUUCAAUAGUGAAAGACGGUUUUGCUGUCACUUAUAGAUGGAUCCGCGCCGCAUUAGCUAGUUGGUAAGGUAACGGCUUACCAAGGCGACGAUGCGUAGCCGACCUGAGAGGGUGAUCGGCCACACUGGAACUGAGACACGGUCCAGACUCCUACGGGAGGCAGCAGUAGGGAAUCUUCCGCAAUGGGCGAAAGCCUGACGGAGCAACGCCGCGUGAGUGAUGAAGGUCUUCGGAUCGUAAAACUCUGUUAUUAGGGAAGAACAAAUGUGUAAGUAACUAUGCACGUCUUGACGGUACCUAAUCAGAAAGCCACGGCUAACUACGUGCCAGCAGCCGCGGUAAUACGUAGGUGGCAAGCGUUAUCCGGAAUUAUUGGGCGUAAAGCGCGCGUAGGCGGUUUUUUAAGUCUGAUGUGAAAGCCCACGGCUCAACCGUGGAGGGUCAUUGGAAACUGGAAAACUUGAGUGCAGAAGAGGAAAGUGGAAUUCCAUGUGUAGCGGUGAAAUGCGCAGAGAUAUGGAGGAACACCAGUGGCGAAGGCGACUUUCUGGUCUGUAACUGACGCUGAUGUGCGA